ensembl:snRNA U6 U6 spliceosomal RNA
GUGCUUGCUUCCACAGCACAUAUACUAAAAUUGGAAUGAUACAGAGAAGAUUAGCAUGGCCCCUGCACAAAGAUGAUCAUGAAGCAUUUUGUUUUGUUGUACUUUGUU